UACGAAGGGGGCUAGCGUUGCUCGGAAUCACUGGGCGUAAAGCGCACGUAGGCGGCUUUUUAAGUCAGGGGUGAAAUCCUGGAGCUCAACUCCAGAACUGCCUUUGAUACUGAGAAGCUUGAGUUCGGGAGAGGUGAGUGGAACUGCGAGUGUAGAGGUGAAAUUCGUAGAUAUUCGCAAGAACACCAGUGGCGAAGGCGGCUCUCUGGACCGAGACUGACGCUGAGGCGCGAAAGCGUGGGGAGCAAACAGG
rnacentral:rRNA from 1 species